GUUAGGGGGCAGUGGCGCUCUCAUUGGCAGAGUUUGCGCAGGGAGCAUUCUAAGGGAGGAAAUAAGAUGAGGCGUAUGUAACACUUGGCUUCACUGUGACAAGUUGGUGGCAGACGAGGAAAGAUCGUUGUUUUUGUGUGCAUUGGCCACUCCAUUGGUCCCUUCUGCAAAGUCACGUUUGAUGCCAAAAGGUGCUACUUCCAAAUCAUCGAGGAUGAAAACCCGCUUUGCGCUCCUUAUCAGUGGAUCAAUGGGACGAACUUUGUGCUGGCUAACCACAAACAAAUGUCCGUACCUGACAUUGUAAUCCAUGGAUGGAACGACACCUAUCUUCAGCUCAGCACGUGUUUGGAGAAAAUCAGUCGCAAACGAAACUGCCACAGAGAGGAUCAUGAACAAACUGUCGACUGCAAUGUUGACUGCAGUAAAAUUUCAAAAGCUCUCCAGUCUAAUGGAAUUACACCUGGGAUUUCCAUUGCCGUGCUGCUGCUCUCUCUGGUGGUUCUGGGGUUCGUUGGUUGGUUCGACAUCCGCCCCAGAGUUACUGGGAAAAGAAAAACUUGCGGAUCAUUUACAGCAGCAAAAUUAUUAAAGGGAGAACUAGACAAACAACAAGUACAUAAAUUAAUGGCGGCAAACGAUUAAAAUAUUUAAUUGUGAUUAAAUGUAUAAAUGUCACCGUUAAC